rnacentral:rRNA from 1 species
UUUCGCAAUGCCCGAAAGGGUGACGAAGCGACGCCGCGUGUGGGAAGAAGGCCUUCGGGUUGUAAACCACUGUCGGGAGUUAGGAAAUGUAAGGGUGCUAAUAGUAUCCUUGCUUGACUAAGGCUCCGGAGGAAGCCACGGCUAACUCUGUGCCAGCAGCCGCGGUAAUACAGAGGCGGCAAGCGUUGUUCGGAAUUAUUGGGCGUAAAGAGCACGUAGGCGGCCUUGUAAGUCAGUUGUGAAAGCCUUCUGCUUAACGGAAGAACAGCAGCUGAUACUGCAAGGCUAGAGUGCGGAAGGGGAGAGUGGAACUUCUGGUGGAGCGGUGAAAUGCGUAGAUAUCAGAAGGAACACCGGCGGCGAAGGCGACUCUCUGGUCCGUAACUGACGCUGAGUGAGCGAAAGCUAGGGGAGCAAACGGGAUUAGAUACCCCGGUAGUCCUAGCCGUAAACGAUGGGCACUAAGUAGAGGGGUUUUA